rnacentral:rRNA from 3 species
CGAGUGAAGCGGCAAGAGCUCAAAUUUGAAAGCUGGCUCCUUCGGGGUCCGCAUUGUAAUUUGCAGAGGAUGCUUCGGGAGCGGUCCCCAUCUAAGUGCCCUGGAACGGGACGUCAUAGAGGGUGAGAAUCCCGUAUGGGAUGGGGUGUCCGCGCCCGUGUGAAGCUCCUUCGACGAGUCGAGUUGUUUGGGAAUGCAGCUCUAAAUGGGUGGUAAAUUUCAUCUAAAGCUAAAUAUUGGCCGGAGACCGAUAGCGCACAAGUAGAGUGAUCGAAAGAUGAAAAGCACUUUGAAAAGAGAGUUAAAAAGCACGUGAAAUUGUUGAAAGGGAAGCGCUUGCGACCAGACUCGCUCGCGGGGUUCAGCCGGCAUUCGUGCCGGUGUAUUUCCCCGCGGGCGGGCCAGCGUCGGUUUGGGCGGUCGGUCAAAGGCCCUCGGAAGGUAACGCCCCUAGGGGCGUCUUAUAGCCGAGGGUGCAAUGCGACCUGCCUAGACCGAGGAACGCGCUUCGGCUCGGACGCUGGCAUAAUGGUCGUAAGCGACCCGUCUUGAAACACGGACCAAGGAGUCUAACAUCUACGCGAGUGUUCGGGUGUCAAACCCGUGCGCGAAGUGAAAGCGAACGGAGGUGGGAACCCUUACGGGUGCACCAUCGACCGAUCCUGAAGUCUUCGGAUGGAUUUGAGUAAGAGCGUAGCUGUUGGGACCCGAAAGAUGGUGAACUAUGCCUGAAUAGGGCGAAGCCAGAGGAAACUCUGGUGGAGGCUCGUAGCGGUUCUGACGUGCAAAUCGAUCGUCGAAUUUGGGUAUAGGGGCG